rnacentral:rRNA from 1 species
ACGGGUGAGUAACGCGUGAGUAACCUGCCCAUUAGGUGGGGAAUAACACAGAGUAAAUUUGUGCUAAUACCGNAUAAAACCGUAGUACCGCAUGGUACAUCGGUCAAAGAUUUAUUGCUGAGAGAUGGCCUCGCGUCUGAUUAGCUAGUUGGUGGGGUAACGGCCCACCAAGGCGACGAUCAGUAGCCGGACUGAGAGGUUGACCGGCCACAUUGGGACUGAGAUACGGCCCAGACUCCUACGGGAGGCAGCAGUGGGGAAUAUUGGGCAAUGGGCGAAAGCCUGACCCAGCAACGCCGCGUGAAGGAAGAAGGCCUUCGGGUUGUAAACUUCUUUUAGCAGGGACGAAGAACGUGACGGUACCUGCAGAAAAAGCAACGGCUAACUACGUG